CACCUAUAUAAGCAGUGAAGCGUUCUCAUUUGACCGCCGUUUCUGCCUGUUGUUGCACCACGAUGCUGAUAGCGAACACUUUACCGAAUCUCGAGAUCUCAGUGACGAUGAUCUUGCUGUCCUUGUUAGCUGUAUGUUCCAGUGCAGAUAUAGACUGGGGUUAUGAUAACGACGACUACGACGAAGUUGAAGGAAGGUCUUGCACUUCGAGCGCUGACUGCGAGCCAUUCACGUAUUAUUGUUGCGUGAUACAAGGCUAUCAGUAUAGAUAUGGAGCCUGCAAUGCUCGAGGACAGCUUGGGGACAGAUGUAGUAAUGCGCUUGUAAGAAAUAACGAGUAUAAUAACUACUACGCCCCGUAUCUUUACCAGUGCCCCUGUGUGCAACCAGAUUAUAUUUGUCACCGGACUCAUGGGCAACAUCGAUAUGGUACUUGCCAAUAUUACUAUAAGAAAAAGCGCGGCUGAGACGUAAUUUAGGACUCGUGAAACUGAAACACACCAGAUGAGACAACAA